UCUUUCUUCUCUUUCCUUCUCCUCUUUCUCUUUGUGCGUGCGUGCCCAGUCGAGCUCGCCAGCUCGUGGUUGUUGCCUCGCUUCCCCGCGUACGCUAUGGGAGCUGCUGCUCGUCCCCUUACAUGACCCUCUCUCUCACUCGCCCAGCUGCUGCCGCAAGCACACAGCUCGUCGCUGCCUGUGCUCGUGCGUCCAAGCUUCCGUUUUGCUUUCCCAUUUGCGCCCAAUUACCUCAAAUCAGUAAUCAUACCGUGCUAUCGGUCUGUUUGGAGGAGAUUUCUAGAGUAGUAGCUUGAAUCGCAAAGUGGCCCCCGUUCUUAGAACUUCAAGAAAAUUGAUAACAGGUUGGUAGAGAUGACUUGCAAGAGAAGUUAUCUUGCAUGGGGAUGGUUGAGCAAGUUUCUUUUUCUCUUGCACCGUUUCAAACUCUAUUUAUCUCACUUGUCUAAACUAUAAUGUUUUUAUUAGUUAAUGGAUUUGGUUUUACUGUAUUUGGUUGGGGUCGUGAUGGUUCCAACUUGUAUGGAGACCAUUAACUAUCUUUGAUGGUUUUCAAAGUUUAUUUAUUCCGCUGCGUAACUUUGGUAAAUAGCUUUAACAGUUAACACGGUGGCGGUAAUACUUUAGUAAUUCCUUAUUUGAAGUUGGAAAAAGGGUUUAUUCUAGUGAGGAAUUAUUGGGGUGUUACAAAAAAUUAAUAUAUUAAUUAUCAAUUCCAAAUCUAUAAACCAUUUGUCCAAAAAUUCAAGAAUAAAAUCAAAAUCAUAAGUUCACAAUUCAAUUGAAAAACGAUUCAUCAACCAAAAUAUAACAAUUCAACCCAUAUAUAGAUUUAACACAUAAUUUAUCAAGCCACAUACACGUACCUUGAUUAACUAGCACCUCACAGAAAGUUAAUUUGAUCCUGCUACAGAUCACUCACGAGUUCCUAACAAUUAAUAAAUAAAAACCCUAAUUAAUUCCUAAUUGAACAAUUAAUCAAUAAAAAUAAAUCUAAUGGCCUUAAAUUUAAUUCAUGAGUUAUACAUGCAUAAUAACAGUAUUAUUAAUCAUAACUUCGAACUCAUGGUUUAAAAAUACACUUUUAAAAUUUUGGCAUUAAUUUAAAAGAGUUUAAUUAGUAAAAACUGAUUGUAAAGAGAGAAAGCUAUGAAACCAAUUGGGGGUGUGGAAGUCACGACACCAAGGGGUAGUCGUCGGCGGCAAGGAGUGCACGACGGGGGUUUCAAGGUGGUGGUAUUGGGAUUUUAGGUAAGAAGGUUUAGAGCCAAAGAGGGAGAAGAAGUUUAAGAGCAGGCUUGGGAAAGCUCUCAACUUUUGGUAUGAGGAAUGAUGAAUGAAGUAGAGGUAUUAGGAUUAGGAUUAGGAUUAGGAUUAGGGUUAUGGUUAGGGUCAGAAUUGAACCCUAAGAGGUAGAGUUGGGGUUGGUGUUUAAGCUAUGUUAGGAUUCUAAAUCUAGUCAUUAUUUUGGUGAUUUUCGGUUUAGAGUAAAACUGAUUCAAAAUAGAAAUACAGAGCCUUGAAUAAUUAUUUAAGAUUUAUCCUGAAAUUUUCAUAAUUUAUCUCGAAGAAUUCGGGUUUUUAGAGAAUUUUGAAUUGAUAAAACUCUUUAAAAUCCAAUUUUAAAUAGAAUUAUCUUAUUUUUCCAAAAUAAAUCUGAAAUAUAUUCUCAUAAAUGUCUUAUUAUAUAAAACUAAUUUUAUAAAAUAUUAAACAUAAUUUCUAUGUUUAUAAAAUAAUUUUAAGUUUAAUAAAACUCUUUUUCUCCAAAAUUGAUUCCUAAUAGAAUUAGGAAUCUAUAUCCACUUUAAUUAAUUUAAUAAUCGAAAAUAAUAAAUUAAAUAAUAUUCCCUCUAAGACAAUUGAAUAUUUCCCCUCCAAAACAUUUGAAUAAUUUUCCCUCCAAAAUAAUUUAAUAUAAAAUAUAUAUUGAAAAAUGCAAAAAUGAUUAAUUAAAAUACCUAAAAAUAUGGGGUAUUACACAUAACUAGCUUUAAUAAGUGCAGGAAGGUCAUAUUGGACCACUAAAAUGGCAAUGCAGAUAAUAGAAGCACCUUGGACCCUUAAGAGUGCAUCAGCAUCCAAAUUUUCCUUUUCAGACUUGUAUUGAAUAUCAUAGUCAAACCCCAUGAGUUUGGAUAACCAAAACUGUUGGAAUGGUGUCGAAACUUUCUGUUGUAAUAGCCAUUUGAGGCUCUUAUGAUCUGUCUUAAUAGUGAAAUGUGAACUCAUCAGAUAUUGUUCCCAUUUUUGAACUGCAAAGACAAUAGCCAAUAUCUCUUUUUCAUAAACAAAAAGUCUUUGUCAUUUAGGCCCAAGUGAUCUACUGAUACAAGCCAAAGGAUGAUUAUCCUGCAUCAAAUUACAACACCAGGAGCAAGAUUUUAAAUUAUUUGUGGGCAAUUUCAAAAGAAAAACUGAUUCGGAGUAUAAAGUACGAGCACUAUGACCAAUUGUAUUUUUUAAUAUUUUUUUCCGUUACUGUAAUUUCUCAUUAUUAAAUAUGAAUUGCAAAAAAAUUAAUUAACAAUUUGCUUAUCAUUGGAGCAAGUAAUAACUAGCAAUGGUGUAGCUUGAGAAGAUGAUGUGUCAUAACGAGCUAUAAUAUGAAUUCGCCCACCGCUAGAGUUUAGGUUGCCAAAAAUUAAUCAUAACUAAAAUAUUGAUAGUGGAUGAAUAAACGAACAUAAAUUAUUACUAUUGUAUAUGUCCAAAUUACAACAUCGGGAGCAAGAUUUUAAGUUACUUGUGGGCAAUUUCAAAAGAAAAAUUAAUUCAGAGUAUAAAGUAGACAUAAAUAAAUAAAAAACGGUUCACUAUAUAAAAAGAUGAACCAAACCAAACAGGUUUAAUGGUUUAUGCCACAAAGUCAAAAUUGUUAUUUGGUAAAUGAAUUUUAGCUAGUUUGGAAAUAGAAUUUAAAAAUAGUCACUUUGGUAAUUAAAAUUGUUAGAAAUAAUCAUGUGGGGCUACAUGUAUGGCUUAUGUGUAUAAAAGGCCAGUAUCUUAAAGUUAUCCCAUAAAAGUGAUCGGUUUUAUAUUUAGAUAUAUUGGACUUAUAGGAAUCUUAUUGGUAUGGGCUAUUUAUUGGUAUGGGUUAUGGUCCCGAUUCAUAUGGUUUUCUAUUCUCUCUAACAUCCCAUCAUGCAUCAAUAGAAUACAAAGGGAGACCAUAUAGAAUUGGAAGAUCCAAACUCCACCACUCAUCAAUCCAAUGGAGAAAGGUACGCUUCUGCAAUUAUAUUCAACCGAUUAAUCUAGUAUGAAGUAUUUAGUUUGAAUGAAAUCUAACAAAAAUGACUUGGCUUGGGUUCAUCACAACAGGACCUCCAUUUUCUCCCUCCUGGAGUGGAUUCAGAGGUAUAGCAAGAGCAAAGUUAGAAAACAAUCAUCUACAUUGUUGUUGCUAGCUUGGUUUACAAUAUUUGGAGAGCUAGGAACACAAGUGUCUAGACUAUGAAGGUGCCAGCAAUCAAGCAUACUGUUAAAAUCAUCCAGUUUGAAGUUAAGAGUAGAGUUGCAAAUAUGUUAAGCAAGAAAACUUGUACUAGAGAUAGAGAUUGGUUCUUUAGUCUAUUUAGGCUAGGUGUUCUUAGCCUCGUGUUGUUGAGUAAGUCAAAAUCGCAGGCUGUUAUGUUUUUACAAAAACAUAACAAAAAAAAAAAUCAAUGAAAUGGUACAUGUUUUAAUCAAAAUGAUACUCUGCUUUUUAUG